rnacentral:rRNA from 1 species
AUUGAACGCUGGCGGCAGGCUUAACACAUGCAAGUCGAGCGGGGGGAGGUAGCUUGCUACCUAACCUAGCGGCGGACGGGUGAGUAAUGCUUAGGAAUCUGCCUAUUAGUGGGGGACAACACUUCGAAAGGGAUGCUAAUACCGCAUACGCCCUAAGGGGGAAAGCAGGGGAUCUUCGGACCUUGCGCUAAUAGAUGAGCCUAAGUCGGAUUAGCUAGUUGGUGGGGUAAAGGCCUACCAAGGCGACGAUCUGUAGCGGGUCUGAGAGGAAGAUCCGCCACACUGGGACUGAGACACGGCCCAGACUCCUACGGGAGGCAGCAGUGGGGAAUAUUGGACAAUGGGGGGAACCCUGAUCCAGCCAUGCCGCGUGUGUGAAGAAGGCCUUUUGGUUGUAAAGCGCUUUAAGCGAGGAGGAGGCUACCGAGAUUAAUACUCUUGGAUAGUGGACGUUACUCGCAGAAUAAGCACCGGCUAACUCUGUGCCAGCCGCCGCAGUAACAC